ensembl:lncRNA
ACCAGAGGCCAAGUUUGAUGCUUUAACAUAAAUUAUGCACUUCUGAAUAAGACAAAAAUGAUGAGACAAAAGAUUGAAGAGGUGUAUGGAAUAAAGGAAGUUCAAGAAGGACUAAAGGAAAUGGUUCUGCAAGUAGCCAAGUAUCACCUGUACUCUUGUCCAUAAAAGAUGCAUAUGUUAUAGGGUCUAUAUUACUCUGAGGUGUCUGACUCAAGUAUUGACCUGGCACAAGCUUCUGAGAGCUGAAAGAUGCAGCAUACCUAUUUAUCCUCAGGCUUUUUGCUUUAGAUACAGACUUUGGGAGGAAUUCUCAGGCCCUCAAGUUUUUUGGCUGUAAGGGCCACAACCAUGAUGAAAAUGUUAGUUGACUAAAACAAAGGAGGAAUAGGGAGAUGGUCCUACAGAAAACCAUUCUUGAGCUCCACAAUCCAUCCAGAUAUACUCAAGGUUGAUAUGAAGAUAUACAUUCUGAAAUACUGAAGCAGAAGAAGAGCUCCACCAGAAGCAUGAAUGAUACACAGUUUCAAUCUGGUUCAUUUCGAGCAGUUUGAGUGUGGUGCCGUGAGAGAUGCUGUUGUCCAUGACAGGAUGGGAUUAUUAUGAUCAAAUACUCUAUUUUGACUUCACCCAGUGGCCAAGAGCUUCAUAUGGUAGACAGCCAAGGACUGGACUUUUACUAAUAGUGUAACAGGUGGGCUGCCUGCUGUGGCUGAGGAACUCCACCUGCCAGAGAUACAGAGCGGCAAAGUGACUUAUCCAAGGUUAUCCCACAGGUCCAUGGCAGAUCCAAGGAUAGAAUCCAGGUGCCCUGAGUCUCAGUCCUGCAUCCUCUGUAUUGGACCACACUGUCUCUCCCCCUUUGUUGUUGGGGGAAAAUGUAGACAGAUAAAAUAAUGAUAAAUGUCAAAACAAAGAUAUCAAGAAAACUGCUUUGUUAGGUAAAAACAUAUAGCUCACUUUGUUAAAGGUACCGAGAUGUGAUUUGAACAAAUUAAGCUAUUCUAAUGUCUGUAAAUGUUUUAAAUAAUGUAUCGUUUACCCGUGGAACUCAUUGCCACGAGGUGUCAUUGAGGCCAGGAGCUUAGUGGUAUUCAAUAACAGGAUUAGGCAAAUAUAUCGAUAACAGGAAAAUGCACAGUUACAUUAGAAAAGAGCGUUGUAAAAUUGAGGAUAUAAAUCUUCAUGUUUCAGGGGACAGACCAAAUACUAAGUACAUGUGGUUAAGAAGAAAAGUUAUCUGAAAGGCAAGUUUUUUUCCAUAAUUGAGCAUUCCUCUGAAGCAUCUGGUACUGGUCACUGUCACAGACAGAAUACUGCACUGGAUGGCCACUGGGUCUGCUCCCAUGUGGCACUUCUUAUGUUCUUGUGCAUAGCACUGAAACGUUUCUAUGUAGCAGAAACCUCCAAACAUCACAGAUAGCACAUACCCUAAAACAUCUGCUUGGUGAUGUUUCAGGGGUGCUUUGAAAUGCUAUAAGAGUUCUGCCCCCAUUAAAAUGAUCCAGUUUUUGUGAGCUUAUGCUUUCCCAUAUAGCUGGCAUUUUUCAAGAUUGAAUUAUUUAGCAUACCAUCAGCAGUCUGAAUUAAUUCCUAAAGAUACAGGCCCAUUGCUUUCAUCCUGAAAACUGAACUGAAGAAACAGCAUGUCAGAACAUAUGGCCCUACAGAAUUUGAAGGUCGUAUUAUUUAUGAAGAUAGCCACAA